AGGAUUAGCUGAGACCGUCUGUAAAGCUCCCGGCCCGGUGCCCCGGGCCUGGGAGAGGCUCAUAGGCUCCUUAAUUUCUCUCCCUCCCUCUGCUUUGGAUUCCACCAGAGGGGUGCAGCGACCGAGGACCCAGAUCCACACACGUCUUCAGGACCAUGGGGACUUCAGGAGCCACCACGCCACCCGUUGGCUGGAGCAGCGUCACUCCCACGGGGACUCACCUCCUGACACACGACAGAAGCGGGCUUGCUGGGGCUCCUCCUCAGCUCUGAGUAUCACUCGGCGGGAAAAUGUGGGUCCCCACCUGCACGUGUCACAUCCCCACAGGGUCCAAGAGCCAGCUCUCGAAAUCACCUUGUGGCUCCGA